rnacentral:rRNA from 1 species
CUGAGGUCAGGCAAGAACACCCGCUGAACUUAAGCAUAUCAAUAAGCGGAGGAAAAGAAACUAACUAGGAUUCCCUUAGUAGCGGCGAGCGAACCGGGAUCAGCCCAACUUGUAAAUCAUUAGCCUUUGGCUAAUUGAAUUGUAGUCUCAAGAUGCGAUCUCUGCAGCUAGCAGUGCCCAAUUUUCCUUGGAAAAGGGAGUCAGAGAGGGUGAGAACCCCGUCGGCACUUGCUUCAGCUGCUCCACGAGGCGUUUUCUCAGAGUCGGGUUGCUUGGGAAUGCAGCCCUAAGUAGGUGGUAAAUCCCAUCUAAGGCUAAAUACUGACGGGAGACCGAUAGCGAACAAGUACCGUGAGGGAAAGAUGAAAAGAACUUUGAAAAGAGAGUCAAAAGUGCUUGAAAUUGUUGAGGGGGAAGGAAUUGGAAGCCGUUUGUGCGCCUGGGCUUAAGUGGGCAAUUCUGCCCAUUGUACGCCUUAGGUGCCGGUCAGCAUCGGCUACUGGACCGGGAUAAUAACUUUCCAUUGGAGAGUGCAUGCCGGCCCGGUGGCCGAGGAUUUGAAAGGUGCUCUUUGAGUCCUUCGGGAACUGCGCCUUCAAGAUGCUGGCAAAAGGCCUUCAAUUCGCCCGUCUUGGAACACGGACCAAGGAGUCUAACAUACGUGCGAGUACUAUGGUGGCAAACCAUUGUGCGCAAUGAAAGUGAAGGCUGGCUUCCGUCAGCUGAGGUGGGAUCCGCAAGGAGCACCAUCGACCGACCAUGUCCCUUCGGGGUAAAGGUUUGAGUGUGAGCAUUUAUGUUGGGACCCGAAAGAUGGUGAACUAUGCCUGAAUAGGGCGAAGCCAGGGGAAACUCUGGUGGAGGCUCGUAGCGAUUCUGACGUGCAAAUCGAUCGUCAAAUUUGGGUAUAGGGGCGAAAGACUAAUCGAACCAUCUAGUAGCUGGUUCCCUCCGAAAUUUCCCUUAGGAUAGCUGCAACCGGUUAAGAGUUUUAUCAGGUAAAGCGAAUGAUUAGAGGAUUCGGGGACGGAAUGUCCUCGACCUAUUCUCAAACUUUAAAUGGGUAAGAACCCGGGGUUGCUUAAUUGAACCCUGCGGUCGAAUCUCGGUUGCUAGUGGGCCAGUCCGGGUAAGCUGGACUGGCGAUGCGGGAUGAUCCGAACGCUGAGUUAAAGUGCCUAACUGCUCGCUCACCUAGAUCCCACAAAAGGUGUUGGUUCAUCCAGACAGCAGGACGGUGGCCAUGGAAGUCGGAAUCCGCUAAGGAGUGUGUAACAACUCACCUGCCGAAUGAACUAGCCCUGAAAAUGGAUGGCGCUCAAGCGUGCUACCCAUACCUCGCCGCCGGGGUAGAAACGAUGCCCCGGCGAGUAGGCUGGCGUGGAGGCCCGUGACGAAGCCUAGGGAGUGAUCCCGGGUAGAACGGCCUCUAGUGCAGAUCUUGGUGGUAGUAGCAAAUACUCAAAUGAGAACUUUGAGGACUGAAGUGGGGAAAGGUUCCAUGUGAACAGCAGUUGGACAUGGGUUAGUCGAUCCUAAGGGGCAGGGAAACUCCGUUUUAACGUGCGCACUUGUGCGCCGCUCCCCGAAAGGGAAACCGGUUAACAUUCCGGUACCUGGAUGUGGAUUCUCCACGGCAACGUAACUGAAGGCGGAGACGUCGGCGGGGGCCCUGGGAAGAGUUCUCUUUUCUUCUUAACGGUCCAUCACCCUGAAAUCGGUUUGUCCGGAGCUAGGGUUUAACGGCCGGUAGAGCCCCGCACCUUUGCGGGGUCCGGUGCGCUCCCGACGACCCUUGAAAAUCCGCCGGAAGGAAUAGUUUUCACGCCAGGUCGUACUCAUAACCGCAGCAGGUCUCCAAGGUGAAAAGCCUCUAGUUGAUAGAACAAUGUAGGUAAGGGAAGUCGGCAAAAUAGAUCCGUAACCUCGGGAAAAGGAUUGGCUCU